CUCCUCUCGAGUAGAGUACUGGCUUGUUGCUAAGACAACCGCUGGAGUGACAGCUUAGAAACUAAUCCCGCUAUUGUGUGCAGUUAGAGUCUACCUGAAACAGCAGAGAUUGACUGAGCGACCCAUUUCAUAGGGCAGCUAAUAUCAGAAUUCAUGCAGUCAAGAGGAUUUAUCUUAACAGAAUUUAAGUACCAGCUGUCCAAGCAGUUUUCACAAGUUGUAAAAAAUCCACAGCAAAGCAACAACUCUCAGGGCAAUGACCCCAAACACAUGCCCAUUGAGAACUAUUUUCAUCAUAAAGAAGAACGAGGAGUACUGGAACUGAUGAUUUUGGCCCCACAGAGCCCCUAUCUUAACAUCAUUGAGUCUGCCUGGAACUACAUGGAAAGACAGAAGAAUUUGAGAACGCCUAUAUCCACAAAAGAUCUGUGGCUAGUUCUCCAAGAUGUUUGG